GGUUUGAUUCUGGCUCAGAUUGAACGCUGGCGGAUGUUUUUACACAUGCAAGUCGAACGGCAGCACGGACUUCGGUCUGGUGGCGAGUGGCGAACGGGUGAGUAAUGUAUCGGAACGUGCCUAGUAGCGGGGGAUAACUACGCGAAAGCGUAGCUAAUACCGCAUACGCCCUUCGGGGAAAGCGGGGACCUUCGGGCCUCGCACUAUUGAAGGGUCGACAUUAGCUAGGUUGGUGGGGUAACGGCUCACCAAGGCGACGAUCCGUAGCCGGUUUGAGAGGACGACCAGCCACACUGGGACUGAGACACGGCCCAGACUCCUACGAAGAGGCAGCAGUGGGGAAUUUUGGACAAUGGGGGAAACCCUGAUCCAGCCAUCCUGCGUGUGCGAUGAAGGCCUUCGGGUUGUAAAGCACUUUUGGCAGGAAGAAACGGCACGGGAUAAUACCCCGUGCAACUGACGGUACUGCAGAAUAAGCACCGGCUAACUACGUGCCAGCAGCCGCGGUAAUACGUGUAGUGCAAGCGUUAAUCGGAAUUACUGGGCGUAAAGCGUGCGCAGGCGGUUCGGAAAGAAAGAUGUGGAAUCCCAGAGCUUAACUUUGGAACUGCAUUUUUAACUACCGAGCUAGAGUGAAGUCAGAGGGAGGUGGAAUUCCGCGUGUAGCAAGGGGAAAUGCGUAGAUAUGCGGAGGAACACCGCAUGGCGAAGGCAGCCUCCUGGGAUAACACUGACGCUCAUGCACGAAAGCGUGGGGAGCAAACAGGAUUAGAUACCCUGUAGUCCACGCCCCAAACGAUGUCAACUAGCUGUUGGGGCCUUCGCCUUGGUAGCGCAGCUAACGCGUGAAGUUGACCGCUCCUGGGGAGUACGGUCGCAAGAUUAAAACCUCAAAGGAAUUGGACGGGGACCCGCACGCUGCGGAUGAUGUGGAUUAAUUCGAUGCAACGCGAAAACCUUACCUACCCUUGACAUGUCUGGAAUCCCGAAGAGAUUUGGGAGUGCUCGCAAGAGAACCGGAACACAGGUGCUGCAUGGCUGUCGUCAGCUCGUGUCGAGAUGUUGGGUUAAGUCCCGCAACGAGCGCAACCCUUGUCAUUAGUUGCUACGAAAGGGCACUUCCACGAGACUGCCGGUGACAAACCGGAGGAAGGUGGGGAUGACGUCAAGUCCUCAUGGCCCUGGCGGGUAGGGCUUCACACGUCAUACAAUGGUCGGGACAGAGGGUCGCCAACCCGCGAGGGGGAGCCACCAAUCCCAGAAACCCGAUCGUAGUCCGGAUCGCAGUCUGCAACCUCGACCGCAGCCGGAAUCGCUAGUAAUCGCGGAUCAGCAUGUCGCGGUGAAUACGUUCCCGGGUCUUGUACACACCGCCCGUCACACCAUGGGAGUGGGUUUUACCAGAAGUAGUUAGCCCAACUCGUAAGGAGAGGGCGAUUAAUACGGUAGGAUUCAUGACUGGGGUGAAGUCGUAACAAGGUAA
rnacentral:rRNA from 1 species